CCUACGGGUGGCAGCAGUGGGGAAUAUUGCGCAAUGGGCGAAAGCCUGACGCAGCGACGCCGCGUGAGGGAUGAAGGUCUUCGGAUCGUAAACCUCUGUCAGCAGGGAAGAACGGUCACUGUGCUAAUCAGCAGUGAAUUUACUGUCCCUGCAAAGGAAGCACCGGCUAACUCCGUGCCAGCAGCCGCGGUAAUACGGAGGGUGCGAGCGUUAAUCGGAAUUACUGGGCGUAAAGCGCUCGUAGGCGGUAUGUCAAGUCAAGGGUGAAAUCCCCGGGCUCAACGUGGGAACUGCCUUUGAAACUGGCAGACUGGAGUGUGUGAGAGGAUAGUGGAAUUCCAGGUGUAGGAGUGAAAUCCGUAGAUAUCUGGAGGAACAUCAGUGGCGAAGGCGACUAUCUGGCACAUAACUGACGCUGAGGAGCGAAAGCGUGGGUAGCAAACAGGAUUAGAUACCCUAGUAGUC
rnacentral:rRNA from 1 species